rnacentral:rRNA from 1 species
UCCGGCGGGGACUAGCGUUGUUCGGAAUUACUGGGCGUAAAGCGCCCGUAGGCGGAUUUGUAAGUCCGGGGUGAAAUCCCGGGGCUCAACCUCGGAACUGCCUUUGAUACGGCAAAUCUCGAGUCCGGAAGAGGUGAGUGGAAUUCCUAGUGUAGAGGUGAAAGUCGUAGAUAUUAGGAAGAACACCAGUGGCGAAGGCGGCUCACUGGUCCGGUACUGACGCUGAGGUGCGAAAGCGUGGGGAGCAAACAGG